GACGAACGCUGGCGGCGUGCUUAACACAUGCAAGUCGAACGGAAAGGCCCUGCUUUUGUGGGGUGCUCGAGUGGCGAACGGGUGAGGAACACGUGAGUAACCUGCCCUUGACUUUGGGAUAACUUCAGGAAACUGGGGCUAAUACCGGAUAGGAGCUCCUGCUGCAUGGUGGGGGUGGGAAAGUUUCGGCGGUUGGGGAUGGACUCGCGGCUUAUCAGCUUGCUGGUGGGGUAGUGGCUUACCAAGGCUUUGACGGGUAGCCGGCCUGAGAGGGUGACCGGCGACAUUGGGACUGAGAUACGGCCCAGACUCCUACGGGAGGCAGCAGUGGGGAAUAUUGCACAAUGGGCGGAAGCCUGAUGCAGCAACGCCGCGUGCGGGAUGACGGCCUUCGGGUUGUAAACCGCUUUCGCCUGUGACGAAGCGUGAGUGACGGUAAUGGGUAAAGAAGCACCGGCUAACUACGUG
rnacentral:rRNA from 1 species